UACAGAGGUGGCGAGCGUUAUUCGGAAUUAUUGGGCGUAAAGGGCGCGUAGGCGGCUUGACAAGUCCCGGGUGAAAUCCCUCGGCUCAACCGAGGAACUGCCUUGGAAACUGUCUGGCUUGAGGCCGGGAGAGGGUAGUGGAAUUCCCGGUGUAGCGGUGAAAUGCGUAGAGAUCGGGAGGAACACCAGUGGCGAAGGCGGCUACCUGGACCAGCACUGACACUGAGGCACGAAAGCGUGGGGAGCAAACAGG
rnacentral:rRNA from 1 species